AUCGGCAGUAAGGCCAGCGUGUGUGUUAACUCGGACUGCUUUUUCCUGCUGCAGGAAACUUUGGAAGGAAUCGGCACAUUUACCCCCGUACUAAGUGGAUUGGAAGACACACCUGAGGUGCCCCAAUCCAAGGGACCCUCAGGUCCGAUGAAGACCGGUCUGCGGAGGAGGGCUUCUUCACCAGACAUUCCAACAAAGAACAGAUUGUCAGAAGGCAUCAGACCCCCACCCCCUGCCCCCAGUGUUUAAAUUCCAGGGACUGAAGAGCUGACUUUCACUUUCUAGAAGUGUCAGCAUUCCGGGCACCACCCCCACUCUCCAGUCCAAGGCCUGAGGUUUAAUUUACCACUGAUAUCAUUGGAAUGGUGAGGCGUUUUCGCAUCGUAUUAAGUUCUGCUUUCUACGAAAGUUUGUCAUGUGUCAGAAAAUGUGAAACACUCAGCUGGCCCUGGUGCCUGUUCUGACGUCACAAAGACGUCACUUUGUACUCACUGGGCCUCAGUUUUCUCACCUAAAAUGUGGACACAAGAUGAUUUUAUUUUAUUAUUUUUUUAACGUUUACUUAUUAUUGAGAGAGCAUGAACAUGGGAGGGGCAGAGAGAGGGGGAGCCACACAAUCCGAAGCAGGCUCCAGGCUCGGAGCUGUCAGCACAGAGCCCCAAGCGGGGCUUGAACCCAGGAACUCAUGAACUGUGAGAUCAUGACCUGACCCCAAGUAGGACGCUUAACCGACUGAGCCACCCGGGCGCCCCUACAAGAUGAUUUUUAAAGAUACUUUCAGAUUGAACCAAAGAACUGGGAGGUGACAGUUCAGUCUCAUACUCAGAUUUGGGGGCUGGGAAGCUUUGCUAAUCCCACCCCUACCCCCACCCCGCCACCCCCGCAAAACCAGAGAAAUGUAACCGUUCUACUGUGAGAGCACCCAAAGGCGGAUAUCGGAAAAUAGAGAGUCCUGGGAAGACACCAGGAGUCAGCGGGCCCCUGGGAAGGAACCUUCAGGCAAGAAGGCUGCCAGGGGUUUCCUUGCUUUCCUCCUGGGGAGGAGGAGGAGGGCAGUGGGCCAAAGCGCCGGGGCAGUCAGCCCACGUGGGAGUACUGUGUGACAAAUACACUAUCUUCACAAAUUUGAUCUUAUGAUCCUGGGUCCGGUUAAAGAACAUGUCUUGCAUUGCUGGCAAACUCCUGCACGUGGAGAAUGGCGUAUUCAGAGGCAAUCGUUGCAGCACUGUUUACGAUACAGAAGAUUGGGAAGAAGCACAGCAGCCUAUCAGGAGAAACUGGAAGGCAAAUUGAAGACAUCUUCAAAUGACAAACAAAAAACAGAAUGAACCACCCUAGACCCUUAUUAAGGAAACUUGCAAGCAUGUACCUGAAAAGAAAACUGAACCUAGGGGAAAAAAUUGUGAGAUUCAAGAAGAAAGAGUGAGUAAACACUGGGAAAAUGAAAUAAAACCGAACAAAUUAUGACUACUCAAAACUACCUUUCCAGACCAGAAGAAGGUAGGACACACGGCCACAGAGUGCAGCAUGUGAGAUCGGAGAGGUCCUUGCCCAGGACAGACGGCAGCAGAACCACGGACGAAACCGUGAAGAAACCCGUCAGGGUUAGUGGAUACAGCUGCAUCUGUGUGAACCCGCUGGCUGGACCAUCACAACGGGAACAGCCAAGAUUCGAAGGCUGGGGAAGUGCAUGGAAAGUGUUUCUACUGCUUUGCAACUUUUAAGUCCAAAGUCAAUUAAAAAAAAAAAAAAGUUUUAAAGGUUAAGAAAAACAAGAACAAAACCGUUUUCGAUAAUACCACUUUUUUUUAAAUGGUAAACAUUUAAGCUGGGAACGUUCUGCUUAUUUUUUUCUUCAUAGUACUCAAUACCAUCAAACGUGUUUUAUAUUUAUGUACGGAUCAACUAUCUGUCCUCACUAGCAGGUAGCUCCCUGAGGACAAGGAUUUGGGCUGUUUUGUCAACUACUAUGCUAAACCCAGAGCGCUGCCUGGCAUGUAGUAGGUGCUCCGGAAAUAUUUGUUGAGUGAAUAAGGAACAGCUGCUCACUGAUUGGUUUCAUUUAUUUGUAUCUGUUGUGCAACAUUUUAAUAAUGAGCAUUACCGGGUGAUACAGCUACGAGAUAUCCCCCCCC